rnacentral:lncRNA from 1 species
GAUGGAUUGUUGUGCUGUCAACAUAAUUUUUUCCCACAUACCUAUUAUAUCUAAGAAUUCGUUCCCAAGUUAGAAACUAAAGAAAAUUCACAUCGCUUUUAUUUGCUUUCAUUACAGACUCCUGGUAGCACUGAAACUAGGAAUGUUUAUCCAUGGGAAAUUAUUAUAUCCCUUUUAUUUGCCAAAGUGUUUGGGCCGUUGUCAAAGAAUAAAUAUCCCCAGGAGAAUGAGAAUAAGCCAACAUGGACAUAAGCCAUGAAUGACUUAGAAGAUCAAGGUAACAAUUUCUGGAAAUUUUUACAUAAGUGUACAUGUUUAUAGUGAUGCCAACACAUGUC